UCUCUCGAGACCGACCCGAAAGUAACUUAAGACGCGGAAGGGAGAGUCAAAAAGAGAAAGAGACCUAAAGGGUGAAAGCGAAUCGGGGAAGAUAAGCUAGCAGCAAAAAGGAACCGAUUCCCACCAAGUUCGGAAAGAGAUACCGGGCGAGGCGCUGAAGAAAGAAUCUCGCUUCAGACACCCCAAGGACUCGACUGAAGAAA
ncrna:unclassified sequences IMES-1 RNA motif